UGUUGCUAAGCAACCUUUCACCGCUUUAAUUCUAAAUACAAUUUCCGGCCUUCAAGGGAAACAUUUAUGCUGUCCCAGGCACUGUAGAAGACAUUGGGAUAUAAAGAAGAGUGUCGACAAGGUUCUUGGCUUCUUGAGACUUACUCUCUAGUGUAAAGUUGAAUAUAUGAAUGAAUAAAUAAGAGAACUGCUGUUCGUACAAAUGCGAUGACAGAGCCAGACCAGGGUCUGGGCCUUCAGAGUCCAUCAGGAAAGGAAGUAACGGUCAUUAAUUUGGUUUCCUUACAACUUGGUGACAUGAGAAAACUUAACUGGAGAGCUGGGAG